GAUGAACGCUAGCUACAGGCUUAACACAUGCAAGUCGAGGGGCAGCAUGGGGUCAGCUUGCUGACUCCGAUGGCGACCGGCGCACGGGUGCGUAACGCGUAUCGAACCUUCCCCUUACUCGGGAAUAGCCCGGUGAAAACCGAAUUAAUGCCCGAUAUAUAUUUAGAUGGCAUCAGAAGAGUAUGAAAGAUUUAUCGGUAAGGGAUGGCGAUGCGUAGGAUUAGGUAGUCGGCGGGGUAACGGCCCACCGAGCCCACGAUCCUUAGGGGUUCUGAGAGGAAGGUCCCCCACAUUGGAACUGAGACACGGUCCAAACUCC
rnacentral:rRNA from 1 species